CGGGUCUCCAGCUGUUUUUGAACUACAAUCCCCAUCAUCCCUGACCACUGUUUCUGCGAGCUAGGGAUGGUGGGAGUUGUAGUCCAAAAACAGCUGGAGAUCCA
rnacentral:miRNA from 1 species